UACAGAGGGUGCAAGCGUUAAUCGGAAUCACUGGGCGUAAAGGGUGCGUAGGUGGUUGAAUAAGUCAGAUGUGAAAUCCCUGGGCUCAACCUAGGAAUUGCAUUUGGUACUGUUCAGCUAGAGUGCAGUAGAGGAAAGUGGAAUUUCCGGUGUAGCGGUGAAAUGCGUAGAUAUCGGAAGGAACAUCAGUGGCGAAGGCGACUUUCUGGACUGUAACUGACACUGAGGCACGAAAGCGUGGGGAGCGAACAGG
rnacentral:rRNA from 1 species